rnacentral:rRNA from 1 species
AUGAAACAUCGUGAGUGGAAAGGGGAACCAAAGUGCUCGUUCUGUGGGGAAAGGGAGACUUCCCAACACCUAUUUUUCAUGUGCCCUAUUGCGAGAGUUACUUGGAGAGUGGUGGGGUGCAUGCUGGGCACUGAACAGUGCCCUAACAAUUUGUGGCAGGAUUAUGUUUGGUGUUAUGUGUUUUUACUAGGGGGAGAUGUCUUUUAUACGGCUGGUAUUGCAGCCAUUUGCUAGGCUAUCUGGACCUGUCGUAAUAGAGUUACUUUUGAACAUAUUCCUCUCAAAUCUCCGUUUGAAUGCAUCUUCUCUGCUUGUGCGUUGUUGUGUUACUGGGCAGGUCUGAUGAAGCAAGAGGACGCAACGACGCUGAGAACUGGAGGGGAAAAUCUAAAAGAGAAUGCUUCUCGUCUGAUGAGGAUCUGCGCAACGGCUUAUGUUUGGUGUUAUGUGUUUUUACUAGGGGGAGAUGUCUUUUAUACGGCUAGUAUUGCGGCCAUUUGCUAG